UUUCUUCAGAACUAUGUGAGUGGGAGUAGGAAAGAAGAACAACAGUACACAUCACAUAUCUUACUGAAAGGCUUUUUACUUUCAUUUACUAUUCUUUCUGUGCUGACAUUUUACAUGGCAAAUCGUUAAUUGCACUGGAUUUUAAAGAAUCUGCACAACACAUAAAGGUUUUGUUGUUGUUGUUGUUUUGACCCAAAGUGAACCAACAUGGCUGUCAGUGAUGUCCUUCUAAAGACCCUUGACGAUCUGGACUCAAGUGAACUCGAUCAAUUUAGAUGGCAUUUAACUCAAGGUGUGGAUGGCCACAAAAUUCCCAAAAAUAAAUUGGAGGGCAAACCAAUGUGGAAUAUUGUGGAUAGUAUGAUUCAACGGUUUCAUGACUGGUGCUAUAAGAGUCACUCUGAACAUUUUGUACAAAAUGAAUCUGAACAAUCUUGCACUGCAAAUGAAUGAGGAGCUUCAAGCAAAAGGAGUUGACAAAAUGGAUUUCAGAUGAAGAAGAACUUUAGGCAUUAUGAACAUCCAGAGGAUUCCAGCCACUAUGUAAACAGCAGCCAUGAUGCACAAGACUUACUCUAAACUGGAUGGAAACAACACACCUUCUAAAGAAAAACCUCAAAGAUUUCAACCAAUUUACUCAAGAUUUUUACCAGAAUAAUUCAAGGCAUAUCAUUUUCUACAUAUAACAGAUUUUCUAGUAGAUACAUUUGGAAAUUAUUACUAUGCUAUAACUCUGUACCAGUUUUUGAGCUUAAAAUUAAAAAUGAAAACCAGAUUUAUAUAAUUUUACUUGUGCUGUUCCAACAAAUAAAAACACUGACUCUACA